AGCAGCUUCAGCUCAAGAGAACCUGCAGAUGAAAACAUUAAUCAACUGUUCAAAAUUACAAGGAUAUUUUUCUGUAUAAGUGCAUUGCUGACAUUCGAGAAGACAAAUGGUUAAUAGUGUGCAAAUGUUUGAGAAAUAGGAAGAAUUAAAAGCUUUCCCAUCCCCAGCUCUAAAAUGUCUUGCCAUCCAGCUUCGAUCACCAAGGUCAGGAGAAAGCUACUCUCUCAGUCAAGUCAUUGGAGGGAAGUUGGAUGGACAUGAUUAAUGGUACAAUUUUGCAUCACUAUGUCGUCUGCCCCAUGAGCGUCGAAAUAGCCACUGGUCAUAUUGGUCUUGGACAACAUUUAGAUAUUUCAGACAAUCACCAAUGAAUAACAUUGGGACUCAUGGUCAAGUUCAUAAGUGUCUUAAAGCUUUGACGCCUAUGGCUCCUAACCAUCCAGAUUUACCUGACAACUGCUAUCAACAAUUCACAGUCAGUGAAUAUCAUCCUUGUCAAACUAGCAACUAACCUCCACACUUUGAAUCAGCUUCACUGGCAAAAUGUUGAUGGGACCUAAGGCCUCCAGCUCUGCUGUACACUCCUACCUGGACUAAAUAAAUUUCAAUCCUUUGGUAUUUUCUACAGUAUUGUUAUACUUUCGCUAUUGUUAAUUAACAAUCCAAUGAAUUCAACAAUCCAACAUUCCUGAUGAAGGGUUCUGGCUCGAAACGUCGAUUUUCCUGCUCCUAGGAUGCUGCCUGACCUGCUGUGCUUUUCCAGCAACAUACUCUCAACUCUGAUCUCCACCAUCUGCAGACCUCACUGUC